GUUUUUUUUUGUUUGUUUUUCUGAUCUAUUCUGGAAUGAUACACCACAGAGGAGCACUGACUGCCUUGUAUCUUUAAGUUUUGCUUCUGAGAGUAAUUUGUUCUGUAGUUUAUCACUUGUCUGCUCGAGUUUGUUUGGAACUUCCAUAAUGCUAAAUAGGACAACUGUUCUGUGUGAAGAGGAGGUGAGCACAACAGAAGACUUUUGUCUUCGGUUUUAACAACAAAACUGAAAGUUCCUCUGGCAAAAUGGCAAUUCAUUGUUAAUUCAUGAGAUGUAGGUGCCCUGGAAAAAUCAAAUACCAGUUUCGUAGCUACCCUUAGGCAUCUCUAAUUUAUGCAAGCAGGGCUCGUUGAGUAACUACUGAGUCUCGUUGACCUUAGUAGGUUUGCAGAGGUCAUAUUUUAAGACAGAUAAGUUAUGCUUGAACUAUUUUCUCAGUAAGUACUAGGAGCAAGUGUUUGUGUACAUAAUUACGUGCUUUUUUCCAAUCCUCCAUUACAUUUUCUGUUUUUCUUUAGAUUCUUGCUUGUAAGUACUACAGUAAAUCCCAGAGUCUCUUUUGUUUGUGUUUUUUUCUUAAUCUGUCAUCUUAAUAUUAGUAAGAAACGUGAGUUUUUGAGGACAGCUUCUUUUUGGGGGUCUCAGUAAAGUGGUAGAAACAGAGGUUUCACAGACUGCCAGAAAGGCAGCUGUAUGAUCAGGGGAACUCAGGGUGUGGGAAGCCAGAACAACCCAAACGUGUGUGAGUGACAUCAGCAUUUUUCUGAGCCGUUUAUGCUGCUCACUUCUGUCGGUUCCCAGCAGUGCCUGUGUCUUAUGUAAGCUCACACUGUACAUCCUGUCCUGCUGUUCUCAUGCAUGAAAAUCAUUGGCGUUAUCUUACUGUACAUUUUGAGAGCUGAGCAGUUGCUGGCUACUUGUUGUCUCAAAUGUCUGCAUGCAAGUCUCUCACAAGCGUGCUGGAGAGAGCUAUGCCAAGAGCAUGGUGCUGUCCUCCUAGGAGACAUCAGAGGGAUAACUUGGAGUGAACGCAGCUCGUCCUCUGCUCUUUCUUAUAAUAGGCACUAUGAAGUAAUGCAGCUACAGAAGUAAUUGUACUGCUAUAGACAGAAGUCCUGAUCUGUAUCACGCGCAGAUGGACCACUAAUGCAGUUUCGAUGGCUGGUGAUAAAACAGACAUAGAAAACAAAGAACGGUGGUUUCAGCAGAAGCUUUAAUAACGUUAGGACUGGAAAAGAGAGGCUUUUAUAUACUCUUACUGUGCACUGCUUGUUACAGGUCUUGGAAGGAAACUGUGCCUUCAGGUGAACUGAUGCUUUACCCUUGUUCCUGUAGUUAGCAUUUAGUGAUGCAUAAUAAUGAAGGCACUGUCACUGGAUGGGUGAAAUUGGAGCAAAUCUUCAGAAACAAAUAUUCCCUCUAUUUUUUUUUUCUUGCUAAAUCUAUCUGUAAUCAUCAGUCAUAAAAUCCUGCAGUAAUGUGAUAUCUGUUAAUGCAGAGUAAGUUGGCCGCCUUCUUUAAAUGCUGCCCAGUGCUUCAGUUAUGAAGCAAAGCUACCUCUACUUCUUAAAUACUCUUGUGUCUUCUGUUUGUGCUCCUCCAGUAUGAAGGAAACAAGUUUCUGCUCCUCUGCUCUGGUGAAUGCACUUGUGUGGCACUGUGGCUUGUUUUGGGGGAGCUGCAUUUGUAGGUCUGUAGAGUUUGUUACAAGCACUGAUGGGAAAGGCUGACAGGCAGGAGAAAUGUACCUGAGUAGAAGUGCAUUUGUGGAAAGGCCUUGAAAGAUUCCUUCAUUCCUUCCUUCGGGCUUUCCAGUGUGAUCUUCCGUGCUGCAUGAAACAAUUCCUCAUUGUGCUGGAGUGUAAGACUUAACAAGGGAACUGGCCAUUUGAAGAGGAACAGGUGCAAUGCUCUGAUGCUCAGAAGCUAAACAAAUUCCUGAGUGAGCAGAUCUUGCAGAGUUUAAGAAAAUUUAUUGGCAAAACAUCUAAGAAGCACUUGAGUUUUCGUUUUGAGUAGGGAAUUGAAUGAUCUGUGCUGCCUUUAUCACAAAUCUAGGAGUGCAGUGGCUCUUUAGUGCUUUUUGUUACUUUUUUGAGGAUAUGAAAAUAUAUUUUAAAAGCAUAUGCAGGAAGAUGGACUUGCAGCAGCCAUAAAAACUUGUAAGAAAGCACCUGCACGUUGUGCAUCUGGGAUUCCGUGGCAUUAUAUUUUAUUGCUCUGUGGAUACUUACGUGACUAUCAGAAUGCAUAUCUAUGUUGUCCAUAUUCAAUAGCCUUUUCAUUUUGUUCAUGUGGACAGAAUCUAUUCAGGAUGCUUAAAUCUGCUAAAAUAUUUAUAAGAAAGUUGGCCCUUGGAGCAUGUUUCCCACAGGAUGCAGUGGGUGUCAGGGCUAAAGGUCAGUGCAGACAAAGUAAAGUGAAGGCUCUUUUGGAUUUAUUUUCCUUCUUUUUUCUUUCUUUUUUCUUUUGAAAGAAAAUUCUCUCUGUAAAGAAGCAUGGAACUUUUCUUUGCAACUUCCUAAGUUUCCAUAUACUAAGAAGAGGGAAUGGACCUGUAAAUACUUAAGUCUUUUAUUGAAACUUUUCUCCCUUUCUUUAGGAGAGCAGAAAAGAAAAAAUAAAAGCGACAACCCCAAAUCAGUGCAGUUAAUAUAUUCAUGGACUCUGAGCAUGGAAGUUCCUGGUGUAAAUGAAAAAAGCCAGAUGGAGUUUUAAGUGACUGUCAUGUACAACUUAAGAAAUGCACAUUCCUGAUACUAAUAAAAGGGCCAGAUUGGAGCUACAUAAUUAAUCCCAGUGUCCUUUUCAACACAUGAUAAGAUUUGGCUACAGCAGUCGUAGAGCUAAUGGAGACAACUGUCAGGUUGUACAAAGCAGUGGAUUGUUUGCCUAAAAUAAAAAUACCUACGUGAUUAUUCUUGUACAUAUAUUUGUAUCUGCUGGUGAUCAGUACUCAUGUCCCAGUUCAAACGGAAGAUAAAGGGAGCUGAUUUGCUCUUGAAUCUCCUUUUUGUCUUAAGUAUCUAUAUAAAUAUAUAUGUGGGAUAUGUCUGUAAAUAAAUUAUCCCUAUUAAAUAUAUAUUUAAGAUGGGAAGUAAAUGUUUUUUGUUAUUUUCUUUAGGAAUUAGAUAGCAGAACUUGCUCUCCUUUGGAGUUCAUUUGAAAUGUAUUGACUGAUGAAUGCCAAGGAGCAGUUCUGCAGUUAUGUUUAUUCACUGUUUGUAUCAGUGACCUGGAAGAAGUGUGCAGGAAGGGGCUAAAGCAAAAACGCUUCUGAGAUGGCACAAAGUGUGUGUUGGAGGCAGACAGGAGGAAGAGUGGGCAGAUGGCAGUCAGAACAAAACAGGUGAAUAAUCAGAUUGGGAACAAGCUGAGUAGACUGUGCAAGCAUGUGUGGUAUUUGCAAUUUUGGUUUAGUUACUGUGAUAGGGAUUUAAUUAUUUUAUGAUCUAUGCAAAAGAACGGUAAAAAAAACGUAAGCUUGCCCCAUAUGCAAUGAUGGAAGUGUGCUUACUGUUGUCUGAGGGGGCAUUUGGGAGAAACAGAAAGGUCAGAGCCUUUGGGGCUGAGGGAACUUGAGGAAAAAGAAAAGAAAACAAAAACCACUUGUUUGGUGCUAUCUCACCUGCAAGUUUAUUCAGGUUGUUUUGUUGUUUGUAGCAUGAGAUGGUAUUAAUGCUCUAAAACCUUACUGCGUGGAUGAUACAGAUAUUCUGUGUCAUGAGAGAUUUUGCUGAAAGAAACUAGAGAUAGCAAGAUGUGUUUGUGAUACUUCAACUAGAUAAAAGAAGUUCCGUAACUGGUUUGAAAACUUUCUAGACUAGACAGCUACCCAUUGUGUAGCUCUGAUCUCUUCCAGAUUGUAGCUUGGAGGCAGUACUGGGAUGAUGAAGAAAAAAGGGAUUGCAGUGAUGAGUGAUUGAUCCCUUAACCCUUAGCAUCGUGGUAGGUGUUACACUGCAAGAAAAUCCACAGGUAGAAAUGCUAUUCCCUCUCACUUUGCUUAAGGAAAUACAAUUAUAACAAAGUGAUAUCCUGUAAUGAAGACUAUCACCUGUAAGAAAUCCAUUGAGAUAAUAUUGAUGAGCCUAGCAGUAGCUUGUCAAAUCAAUCUUUGUAUAUGUCUCUCAAAAUAUUCUUUGUUUCUUUUUUAGGGAGUUCAGUAACUUGGGAAAGCAGUGAGCUGCUCUAACUGGAGAACACUCUUCUAACCCUAAAGGGGAACUGCUUUGUCUGAGAAUGGGAGAAUUUUUGCAUCAUCAGAACACCACUGAAGUCCUUUGGAUUGACUGUCAGGUUACUUCUGUGCAGAAGAUUCCCAUCAGAGCAUUGAUAUGAAGCAACUAAAUAAGUGCUGUAUGCUUAAUAAUGACUUUGAUCUAAAUUAAAUUCUUUACUCUUCAAUAGUAUGUUGUCAUUUAAAUAUUUUUAAUAUUGGAAGCAUUCUUUUAAGUGAGGAAAAAAGAAGUUGACUGCAUCAGAACAGAAUGCAGUCUUGUGGGAUUUCUGGUACGGAGUCACUGAAGAGGGGAAAUAAAAUAGUAACGGCCCCUGGAUGGAACUGUUUUAUUCCCACCUGACCCUUUUAAUGCUUACCCCAGGAUAUACAUGUAGAGGGAGAGAGAAUGUAACAGAGCCUUAAACUCUGUUCAGUUCAGUAACUCUCAUCAGUUAUUGUGAUGCUGAGAAAUGUAUAUCUUUUUUCAUAAUUCUGCCAGGUCUGUUUCUGAGAUUUCCUUCAUCAUGAGUGUUUUCCUUUGUGUUUAACUUUGUACAUACUUAUUUAGAAACAUAAGUACCUGUGAAAGAAUAGAUAGUGUGGGUGCUUAGAAUGGAACUCCUUUUUUUUUUUUUUUGAGAGUUCUGGUAAUGAAGGUAUAGGAAAAUAAAACAUAAAUUUAUAUACAUACAUAUAUAUAAAUGUAUUUGAACCUGAAGAGGCUGAAAAAUGUGUAUUUAAAAAUGGAGUACAUAUAUUCUUAUGUCUUGCAUUUAGAAGCAUUAAGUGUGUGUUAAAUCUAGAAUUGUGGUAUUUUUAUAUCAGUGCUUGUUUUAAGUGAAACUGAGAUUUCCUUCUGAAUUAGUUGAAUGGUAUUUGAUUGGAAUGUCAUAGAAAUGAGUCAUAAAUCUUUUUAUUUUCCCCCCCCCUAAAGGUGAUGGACUGCUCUGUACUGCUGGACAGCUGCAGUGAUGUAUAGUAGUCUGUUGCUGUAAACAUCCCCGACUGGAAGCUGUAGCAGCUCGAGCUUUCAGUCAGAUGUUUGCUGCACCUGGCUAUACCUGGACAGCACCAGGAGGAAAAGACGUCAUAAAGCUGCGUGUGUAGAUACAUAUCUAGUAGUUUCUAUAGACACACUGAACUGCCUCCAAGUGAGUUAAGUUGAUUUUUAUUAAUAUUGCUAGUAUGAUUGAUGACAAGCUAAUCUGUAACAGGAUGGAGAUACAAAGGUAUUGCAUAUAUGUCACUCAGAACUGAAUUCUCUGCUGCUUCAUAGUAUGAGCUACAGAACUAUGGAAUGUAACAGUAAGUGGUGUUUAAUUUCUUGUACAAAUGUACAUAAACAAAAUUCACCUUAUGAACUAUCUUUUUUUAAUGGCAUCUGUUACUAAACUGUGGAAAAAUGAUUAAAUAUUGUUGAAUACUUAGCAAAUAUUUUAUUUGCUGUGCUUUGCUUUUUCUUUCUGAAAUAUUCCAUGUUCUGCCUCUCCUAUGAGUGGGUGGUGCUCUGAUUGUUUGUAAGCUGGAUAUUAGCCAAGGCCAAAAUAAAGGUUAAAAAAGAUUGCACAGGAUGUAUUUUUGUAGUAAAACAAUGCCAAAUGUGUACAGUUGUUUGUGGUACAGUCAGCUUGCUUUGUACUACCAUUAACAGAGAUUAUUUUUCACAUAAAAAACAACUUUUGAAAGUACUUUUUCAGCAUUCUCUUUGCUAAUUCUUGACUUAAAAUAAUCAGUUCAUUGAGAACAGCUCUCAGCAAAACAACUUCAGUACUUUCCACUUCUCUCAGUGAGGGAUCUAGGAAGUGUGUUCUGCAGAUGUAAUUUCCUGGACCUUGUCUGGGACUUUUCUCCUGUUUCUGUAUAGUUCUUCAUUUGUAAAGGAUAGGAGCAGAAUAGCCUAAAUGAGUGAAUUCUGCUGUUGUUUGAGUAGUAAGUGUUCUUGCAUUACCUUAGCUUUCCAGUCUUCCACCUCUGAAAAUGUUAGCUUCAUAUUCCUUGACAUUCAGAAAGCAAAUUUUAUGUUCAGUUUAUUUGGUAGUAUGGUAAUAUAGAUUAAAAGGGUUAGCUAGAUCUAACUUUGCUGCAGGAAUUCUGUAGAAGAUUAUAUGCAAAGAUGCAGAUACUUAGAAAAAUUUCUCAUUUCUUAAAACUGUGAGGAUUCCUUAGGCCUGGUAAAGAAGACUGCAAGUAUUGCAGAGGCAGUGAUUCUCAAACAUGUCAUUAAUGGCCACCAGUGAACUGAGGGCAGCCAUUCUUCUGGGGCAGGUGUGUGACUGUAAAUACAGAGCUGCUGUGUUGUGGGUCACCUGUCUGCUGGUACAGCAGUGUGUGGUGAUAGAAGGUUCUGAACAUACUGAUAGCACUGCUGCAAUUAUCUAUUUUCAGAAUACUUCACACACAGUACAAUUUCUAUUAAAAAAACAUUUUCUCUUAAGUGUGAUGUUUGGCUUGUGUACAUCUUUAAAUUAGAAAGAGAAACACAAGCAGGAUUUACAAAUCCUAUUUCCUUUUUAAAGGGGGACAGAAGUGGUAGUCACUUUUCCAGAUGUUCUUUGCUGUAAAAGCUUGGCAUUCCAUAGUUUUACGUGCUACUUGAACUUAACAAGAAAUGAAGUGUUGUCUGUUAACAUUCUUUGCUGAAAUGAUCAAAGUAAACGUUAUCUCGUAGUUAAUCUUGUAGUCAUUUUUGUCAGUGCUGUCUUUUCACAUGCUAGCCUUUUCACAUGCUAGAUAAGAGUUAUCAUGUGCAGUUCAUCAGCUCAGUCUUGUGGAAUUUUAUUUAUGUGCUGGUGUCUAAUGCCCAUACUCAAACACAACCAUCAUACUUUUACAUGAAAGCCAACUCAAAUGGUUUGUAAUGAUGGGAAAUAAAUAAACCCACACUGCAUUUUUACAUUGUUUUUUUGUUUGGGGUUUUCUUGCUAAGAGUUUGAAAAGCCAGGAUCUCUACUUUCUGUAUGCGAAAUACAAACUUAUGAACUUCUGAACAUAUCUCAAACAUUUCUGCUUGCAAAUGAAGAAGGUGGAGUCUUUCCAGAUAUUAUAUGUUUACACAAUGAAUUUAAGUUGAAUCACUGAAUUUUAGGAAUGGAAGAAGCAGAUUUGACAUGUCAGCCUAAUCAUCAGCAAAGCUGCUUACCUCACGUUGUUAAUGUGAUGGCUGCAAUUAUUGCUUAUGAUAGAAGGAGACAUAAAUCAAUUCCUAAUGUUUUAUGAUGCACUGACAUCACAGUGGAGGCAGAUACCUAGAGGAGGAAGUUGCUAGUCUAGAGGCUGGCAGUGGAGUUGUGAAUGUGCUGCUGAUUCUGGACAUAUGUCAUGCCUAGCGCAAGUAGAAAUGGACAUGCAGACACUUGGAAGCAGGGUAGAAUACCAUGAUCCCUGCUUGCUGAGUAAGUGGAGUGCUUAUGAAGAUGUGCGUUUAGGGUCUGAAUUAGUUGUCUGUGGUUUUCCUGUUGGUGGUUUUUAUGACCACUUAACAGCAACACAUCAAACUCUUCAGUACCUUCAGGCUGGCCUGCAUGAAGGUCUCCCCUUGUUGUGAACUUGCAGCUGCGUUCACUAGAAAUGUUUGAGCUCAUGGUUUUUUCUUCAUACAAAGAACCAACUGUUAAGUGCUCAGAAGGCUUCCACCAGCCUUUGUGUAUGAAGAAGAAUCUGCAUCUGUGGUUCCUUCUCCCCAGUAAAUGUGCAAAACACCUGCACAGACGAGAUGAGAGCUUUGAGAAGGCUGAUGAAGUUUAUAAAGUGUUUUUUUUUUUCCUGGAUUGCUAAUGUUUUAGUUAUUCAAGGCUUUAGAUGCUAAGUAAGCCGCAUUUAAAAUCUAAAAUAAGUGCUGAAGUUUAAUUGAUAGUGUUCUGUUCUCUCACUAUUAAAAUGACUCAUCUUUCUGAGUAACAAUCUGUGUGGAGAAAACUGAGAAGAUUGAAAUGACAGGGAAAGAACCUUGGAAGCAGUUUUAGAAUGGGAGUUAGUUUAGGAAAAUGUAGUGCAACUACAAGCAAAUGUAGCAAUAAAAGCAGUAAAAUUGAGUGUAUAAAGGAAACUGCUGAAAUUUUUGGUACCACAGGAGCUGAAUUUUUGCACAAACCAUUUGAGAAAGACAUCCUUGAGGACUCUGUCCCAGCUUGUACUACCUUGUUGAUGUCUCAUAUGUAUUUUGGUAUUCAGUAUCAACUCUGAUAAUGAUUUGCGUUUGAGGUUUCUAGAAGAUGCCUACUCUAAGCAUCAAGAGUCUUGGCAGGUAAGUGCAACAGAGAUAUUGAACUCCAUGGGCUGUGGGAAUUGUUUUAUUCUGUGUUCUACCUUGUUAUCUCUAGUAUUAGGGACUGUACAAAUAUAUUACUUGUUCUGAUAUUUACAAGGUUAACUGUUAAAAAACAGUGCUCCAACUUUAUGUCAGUAAGGUUUAAUAACUGCUGUAAAUGCCUUCUGAGUAGCAUAAGCUGUAGCACACACAGUGUAUUGAAAUAUGUCUGUGCCGAUUCAUUUUUUGGAUAUCUUGAAAGCCAAUGCUGUAUUUAUAUUGUUAAGCUAACUUUUAGUUCCUGUAAACAUCCUACACUCAGCUAUAACAAGUGGUAGGGCUGGGGGGUGGAUGUUUACUUCAACUGACUUGGAAAGGCAGCUUUCCUGAAUGAUCAAGUGACAUUUUGGCAAGAACGGAAUGCUAUAUUUCAGUAGUAUUCAAAUAAACUUAUUGUACUCUUCUUUCUGCUGUAUUUCCAUAAAUGUCUUAAUGCAUGAUUAUUGUAAAGCAGUCUUUAACUGCUAUAAUGUGUAGCAUUUUGAUUGCAAAUAAACUGUGAUCCUGUAUCUUUGUCUUGAAAAGUACAUUCUGGUGUCCUCAGCUCACCUAGGAUACACUCUUGACAGGAAAAUACCCAGAAUCUAUUACUGAACAUUCAAUUUGCAGCAGCCAUUUCUUAUUUAUGAUCAGCUUCUUUAGUGUGAGAGGAAGAAUUGAUAUGUUGGAUUAUGGUAAAUAGAAAUAACAACAUGAAAUAUUUAAUUGGUAGAACUAUUUAUAUUUAACUAUUCUGUUAGGUUUGGUAGCUAACAAAAUGAGAAAUGUCUUGCUUUGAUUUGGAAAACUUGGAUAGAAGAACGUGAAAGGAGAUGAUCUUUAGCUUUCCAUUUAACUCGUUUUACAUUAUGUCUUAUGUGAUAGGAUCCCAUUCCUAUUAGUGGUGGAUGUAUUGUUAAAUGAAAUAGAGCUCCAGCAUUUUCAGAACAGGAAAUACUAGAUUUAACUAUUCAAAAAAGAGCUCAAGAAUGGUUUUGUUUAGGCAGAAGAAUGAAGGACAUGGGAUGCAUUGUUGGGAAGUAUAACCUGCUUUCCUGAGGAUCACUUUGAAAAUGUAUUUUCUUUAAUAUUAGGCUGUGACUCCUGAUGCAUGAUGUAUUUCCUUCUUAAGGCAAACAGGUGAAAAUUACCAAGAUUUUUCUCUUUUAAGAUGCAGAAGCAUUUUUUGUUAUAUUUUUUCUUGUAUUUAUUAUGUUUUGCUGUGCUGUGUACUUUUGUUUUCAAGCUGAAGAAGUCUGUUUUAAUCGGAAGUCCUGGGCAGAUCUAAAAAACUAUAUGGCACUGCAAUCAAUUGCAUGCAAGAGUAUGCAUCAAAAGUUCUCUAUUUACACAGAACUUCAUUGUGUGAAUAGUGCAGUAUAAUCACGCACUACUGUGUAUGUGCAUGCAUGGUUUAAAGACUUUUUUUUUUAUGAACCAGUGUCACCUGUUCAAUUGGUGCAGACCUCUGAGUUUUCCAGUUGAGGUGAGCCAGGGAAGCCUUAGGGAUGCGAGUUGUCCUCUUCAGAAGAGAUCCUAUGAUGAAGGGGAAGCUUACUUGCAGAACAAUCUGCAUCUCAUUUUAUUCUCCAGUUAAAUGCCCCAUGGCAUCACUAACUUCAUGGCUAAUGCAGAUGCUUCUUUCCAUCUGGCUGGCAUGACAUGCAGCCAUGCUGAUAUAGCCAUGGCAUAGUGCUGUAGGGUUCGACAGGAAGAAGGAAUCCUCAAAUCAACAUUACCACCAGUCAUAAGGUGCAAAGACUCCUUUCAGCAAGCACCAAUUGUCUGGCAAUAAGAGCUAUUGUGGAGGUAGCGAGUAAGCAGACUGGGUGUGGGUGUGUAUGUGGGGUUUCAGUGGGUUUAAAUGCACUUGAGAUGUAAAAUUCAUGUUACAAAUAGGUACAAAACAGUAGUCUUAGUGGUUUUAUUAGAGGAAAAUCUUUACUUUUUGGCGUAUUACAGGUGAAAUUGGUGAACGACCUGUUGAAAGUUUAAGAUUUAAUAUAUGCUUUUUGGGAGUAUUUUGGAUUUGCAGCAGUCUGAAUUCUGUAGUGGUCUGGGAAACAGCUGAAGCGUAGCUGUUCCUUGGAUAAAUGCAAGAAGUCAGACUUCUAACCUAGAUUACUUCUAAAGAGUCUAAGCAUAACACCACCAAACUUAAAACUUCUGAAGCAUGUUCAUUUUUCAUCCAUUGCAUCGGUGAUUUUUGGACAGAUAAGUCUCAGUCCCAUGGCCCCAGUGAUGGCAUAAAGCAGGGUUGAGUAAAUAGCUGUGUAUGAUUUAUACCAUGGUCCGGAAGUUCUCCUUAGAAAUGGUGGCAAAGGUAAGUUGUGUAGCAUCAGUCACCAAAUUUAUCUCAAAGAACACAGGCACUGUUAAUAUAUUUUUUGUUACUUUUGAAAACAUGCAUUUACUCUUGUAUUUAAUUCUUCCUGUUUUUGUUUUCCUGAUGGUAAAAAUCCAAACUUACUUCAAUAAAAGUACGUUGAUAUCGA